rnacentral:rRNA from 1 species
CGGUUAUACAAAAAUUAAAUUAAAUUAUUUCAGUGAUAUAAUAAAUAAAAUUAUAAUUAAAUUAAAUAUUAAAUUAUUAGGUAAAAUUUUAAUUUAAUUAAAUUUUUUAAAAAAUUAUGAUUUAAUAAAUUUAACAAUAAACUAGGAUUAGAUACCCUAUUAUUAAAAAUUUAAAUUGUAAAUAUUAAAAUAGUAAAUAAUAAAUAUUGAAACUUAAAUAAUAUGGCGGUAUUUUAGUUCAUUUAGAGGAAUCUGUCUAAUAAUUGAUAAUCCACGAAUAAAUUUACUUAAUUUAAGAUUUUAUAUAUCGUUGUUAUAAAAAUAUUUUUUAGUAAAAAUAAUAUUUAAAAAUUAAUAUAAAAAAUUAAUUCAGAUCAAGAUGUAGAAUAUAAUUAAGAAUAUGAUGGAUUACAAUAAAAUAAUUUAUAUGAAUAAUUAAAUUGUAAAAUUAAUUUGAAGGUGGAUUUAAAUGUAAUUUUAAUUAAUUUAUUAAAAUGAUUAAAAAUUAAAAUAUGUACAUAUUGCCCGUCACUUUCAUUUUAAAAUUGAAAUAAGUCG